rnacentral:lncRNA from 1 species
UCUACUUGUUUUAACUUUUCCCUCUGCUCCUGAUCCUUCAUGUUGCAUCACCACACUGCCCUGCUCCAUGUUACCAAUUGAUUCCAUUACGGGUGGUCGGAAGGCAGCAGAAGAAAUAAAAAAUAAAAAUUCUAGGGUUGAAUCAACAAUCGGAGAUAUGGUGUAUGGUGUCAUGCAACCAUGGUCAUACAUCUACCUUUGCGUUUUGAAAGGCAAAAAAUUUAAUGCGUC